UGCCAGCCGCCGCGGUAACACGGGGGGCGCAAGCGUUAUUCGGAAUUAUUGGGUUUAAAGGGUGCGCAGGCGGAACUUUAAGUCAGUGGUGAAAUCUUGCCGCUUAACGGUAAAAUUGCCAUUGAUACUGAAGUUCUUGAAUGUAGAUGAGGUAGGCGGAAUGUGUAGUGUAGCGGUGAAAUGCAUAGAUAUUACACAGAACACCAAUUGCGAAGGCAGCUUACCAAACUAUUAUUGACGCUGAAGCACGAAAGCGUGGGUAGCGAACAGGAUUAGAUA
rnacentral:rRNA from 1 species